rnacentral:lncRNA from 1 species
GCCACUGCUCCCGCCCGGGCUGGAAACCUCUUUCUUCUUCUUGGUGUCCAUGGCUGCGCUUCCCAUAACUUUAGCUAGAAGUUAAUUCCGGUGCCUCGUCCCCGGGGUUCGGUCCCCUCGCUGCCUCCCAGGACUGCUGCCGUUACACUGGAGCCACGCGCUUUUUAUGACUGUCCUCCCACCCUGAAAACACCUCGUGGGGACUUCCGCGGGGAGGGCGGGUGGCGCAGGUAACACGCGGGGCUCCACCCGAGGGGCUGGCAGUCCGCGGAAUGCCGGGUUGGAGCGUCCUCUUUCUCCUACGGAAUCAUUGGGUGCAGAGUCUCGGCCCGUGCUACUUUUGGUUACGCGUGGCAGAAGUCUUGUGCUGGGUGAUAAAGUUUUCCUCCUUCUGCAAAGCGAAGCAACAUUUUCCACCUCUCGGCUCCUCCCACAAAUUCCCAGAGGUAGUCGGCCAGGUCCAGCCCCCGGAAACACACACCCGCAGCCCGACCACGCCACGAUUGAAGCCCCGGGUCAAAGUGGUUC